rnacentral:rRNA from 1 species
CUUCCCAUGACUCAGGGAUAGCCCUCUGAAAAGGGAGGAUUAAUACCUGAUGGUAUCAUUAGUUCGCAUGGAGUGAUGAUUAAAGAUUCAUUGGUCAUGGAGUGGGGGUGCGUUCCAUUAGAUAGUUGGCGGGGUAACGGCCCACCAAGUCUACGAUGGAUAGGGGUUCUGAGAGGAACGGUCCCCCACAUUGGAACUGAGACACGGUCCAAACUCCUACGGGGAGGCAGCAGUGAGGAAUAUUGGUCAAUGGACGAGAGUCUGAACCAGCCAAGUAGCGUGAAGGAUGACUCGCCCUAGUGGGUUAGUAAACUUUCUUUUAAUAAAGGAAUAAAGUUCACUACGUGUAGUGUUUUGUAUGUACUUUAUGAAUAAGCAUCGGCUAACUCCGUGCC